rnacentral:lncRNA from 1 species
CUUUUCUUUGCACCAACGCAUCUCUCUCUAGUAAGAUCAUUUUAAUUUAUUUUUAUAUUAUCUUUCUCUCAACUCAUUAAAUAAUUUCUUUCUUAAUGAAAGCAUUUAGAUUAAUUCUGAUUUUAUUUCCUAGCCCAACUUGGUAAAUUAGUGUGAUAAGAAAACAAAUAAUUAAGCGUAUCAAGUACCUAAGGACUAAUUGAGAAGAUUGAGACUUCUCGAUCUUGACUUCAUCCUGAAGAGGAUUAUUCUCAAAUGGUGUUCAAAACUUGCUUGUGCCAAGAGUUACUUUUACUCAACUUGGCUCUAGGAUUAUACUCGAUAAGGCUGAACUCGGCCUUUGUGAGGGAAUAUGCUCAAACUAAGUUGAGACUCAUUUGGACUUAUAUGCGAACUAGGUUGAGACUCGCUCGAGAUUGUUUCAAGCCAUAAAUGAAAUGUUCCUAAUGAGGUUGAAAUCUGAGCAAGACUCGGACGCCCUUAUGAUAAAUCAUAAUUAGUCAAUGUCGAAACUCAAUUGUGCUAAAAAAUAAUAAUGGUCGAUCACGAUUGAGAUUCACCUGGGUUAGACUUAAUCCUUAGCUGCCUAACUUGUUGUGUGGCAAUCAUAUUAGCAUUGUUGCCUUUAUCUUUGGUUUCUUUUCAUCAAAUAAAAAAUGAUAUCAAGCAUGAUGCAACGUGACACUAUUCCAUAUGGAAGGGUUCUGCAUAGGGUGAGUUUAAUAUCUUUUGUAUUAUGUUUUAUCAUUAAUUUUCUACAUAGUAUUAAUUAGCAAACUAUCUUGAGAUCAACACCGCAAGACACUUUAAAAAUUUUCUAAAGAGCUAUGGAGAUGCAUGUCAGUGGGAGAAAGAAACGUUGUAU